rnacentral:rRNA from 1 species
GGGCCCGCACAAGCGGUGGAGCAUGUGGUUUAAUUCGAUGCAACGCGAAGAACCUUACCUGCCCUUGACAUACAGCGAACCCUGAAGAGAUUUGGGGGUGCCGAAAGGAGCGCUGAUACAGGUGCUGCAUGGCUGUCGUCAGCUCGUGUCGUGAGAUGUUGGGUUAAGUCCCGUAACGAGCGCAACCCUUAUUCUUAGUUACCAUCAGGUUAAGCUGGGUACUUUAAGAAGACUGCCGGUGACAAACCGGAGGAAGGCGGGGACGACGUCAAGUCAUCAUGGCCCUUAUGGGCAGGGCUACACACGUGCUACAAUGGUAUCUACAACAGGAAGCAAGACUGCGAAGUUAAGCAAAUCCCUAAAAGAUACCUCAGUUCGGAUUGCACUCUGCAACUCGAGUGCAUG